UCAGUUGUGAGUUGANGAUGNNACCUCCUUACCUUAUAGAAGCGUCUUUGCUCGCUACCUGUCGUCUGAUGCAAAGUGAUACCCAAGGCGUCUCGCCCUCCGAUUGGACACGUUUACACCCUUUGCAGGUCCAGGAUGAGUCCGAAAAACUUUGGUAACAAGGGUUUUCAACCCCGGAGGGGUUGGUUCUGGCAGGUUUUAACAACGCGUCAAGGGGCUAUAAAUCUCGUGAAUUGCCUACUGCAGAGAAUCAACAAAUCUUUGAACACACAUUGUGCCCCUUGGUAAUCCAUGGGGCAUGCCUGUUCAAACGUCAUUCGUACCUUCCAGCUUUGUUUGCAGUUGGGUGUUUGUCUCUCCAAAAAUUUUGCACUCUGCUCGGAACAAUUGGCAACCGGCGUAUUGAUUUCGGAGCGCAGUACAACUCGCGCAUUGCCCUCAUAACCACCACUUCCCAUCAGUACAUUUUUUACACUCUUGACCUCCGAUCAGGUAGGGAUGCCCGCUCAACUUGAGCAUAUCCAUACUCGGAUGAAUGAAAUCCCAACCANNAUUGAGGCGAACCGGGGGAACUGAAACUUCUAAUUGCCCCGAGGAAACAAACCCCACCAUAUACUCACUAUCAUUAAUCUGAAUCCUUAGGUGAAUGAGGCGGAACCAACUGGAACUGAUACAUCUCAGUACGCGGAGGAAAACAAACACAACCCAC
rnacentral:rRNA from 1 species